GCCCCGCGCGAGCGCCGCGGGCUCGGGACGCGAGCUGGGAGCUCCCGAGCCGGAGGGAAAAGGCGGGUCUCCGGCUUGUUUUGAUUCGGCUUCGCUGACACGCUCUGGCCCCGCCCCCGCCCGUGACGACACUGGGGAUUCGGCCUGGCCGCGCCCACCAGGUGACCUCACGGCGGAGCGGAGCGGACCGGCCGCGUGACGUCCCGCGCGAGCGCCGCGGGCUCGGGACGCGAGCUGGGAGCUCCCGAGCCGGAGGGAAAAGGCGGGUCUCCGGCUUGUUUUGAUUCGGCUUCGCUGACACGCUCUGGCCCCGCCCCCGCCCGUGACGACACUGGGGAUUCGGCCUGGCCGCGCCCACCAGGUGACCUCACGGCGGAGCGGAGCGGACCGGCCGCGUGACGUCACGCCCGCGCUGAGCCGGCCGCUUUCGAGUGACGUCAUCCUGACGCCCUCACGGGGGUCUGCGCAGCUCCUGGGCCUCUGCGAAGCGGCUUCGUCAAGUGGCGCCUGAGCCAACCCGGUGGCAUCCCGAGUAGUUACUGGGUGACCUCCUGACCUUCGUGUAAUCGAGGCUUAGAACAAUAUGAUCCGGAAAAACAGGCGGCUGACUGGAACAGAAGUGAGAACAAAGGAUUUCGGACUCAUAAUCCAUCAAAACACUUUGCCCUUCAAGAACAAUCUUGGGCUCAGUGAGUACAGAAAUAAGACAGUUCCCAGACUAGGGGAAUGAACAGGGUCAUGAAUGCGAAGCCGGCACAGCACUGGGGUGAAAGGACCCACCAGCCAGGGCUAAAGCUGAACGUUGCCUGUGACCAAGAAGCAGGCCUUGCCUGGUGGGGGAGGGGGGGGGGACAGGGGACCCACAGCCGCCGCGGGUAAGGCUGGAGCGUCCUGAAGGAGAGAUGGCUGCGUUGCGAUGACACCUGUGAAGACAGGUGGUGGCGCGAGGGCAGGAGACAGCCCCUGGGCAGGGUUUCCCAUGGGCUCCCGUUACUGCAGCUUUAUUCUGCCUUUUCACAGACCAGCUUCUUCCCAAACCUCAGGUCCCAGAUCAAACACACCCCUCCUUCAGAAUGUUGUGGCAGAAACACCUUCCCGGAGGAGCUAUCACAGGUACAGAGCAGCAUCUGUGGACCAUACAGGUGAGUGGCAGAAGGAGUCUCUUCCAUAG
rnacentral:lncRNA from 1 species